CUGCAUCACUCAAGAUCCGUCUCUUUGAGAAGGCUUUCUUCAGUGCUGGCUGGUGCAAGGAGGUGUAGAUUUCUUUCUGCAAACUGUACCAGUAAGAUGAGAGGUUUCUGGCUGAUCCUAUGCAGCAGGACUUCAGUGCCCUGAUUUAUUCCGUGGACAAGCCUAUGAUUAUAAAGGAAUAACAGACUACUGGCCUGAAUUGUGGACUUAAAGUCAGGUGAUGUGACUCCACUGCUAAUGUCUCUGCAAGUUCAUUAGGUAACUCAAUGUGCUAGAAUUUCAUAGGUAUAUGCAAAAUCCUGUUUUUGAACCUUCUGUGAAAUGCCUUUUUUCAUGAUGUGAUAGCUCAGAAGACUUGAUGUGAGAGGUGCCUUGUGGUCACUUGUUUAUCUCUUGCUGAAAUACCUGAUGUCUUUACAGUCAUUAUGUUACUUGGUAGCUAGUGUCAUAACCAGAAGAAGGAAGAAAAGGGACCAAGUGAGCCAUGGAGACUGAACUACCAAUCUCCAUCUCUUGAGAUCCAUUCUGUAAUAAUGGCAGAGAAGACAAACAGAUGAUGCAAACAGAAGGAAAACUGCUUGAUUGCCUACUCUACCCUAAUUCCUGCUCAGAAUUUGGCCAUCUGCAGUUUUGCAAAGCUAUAAUAGAAGAUGAAUCAAGCAAUCCUUACCCUGCGGGCACUGCGCAACCCCACCCUCUGACAUCAGCAAUUCUGCAGCAUAAGAAGAGCCUGAGAUCCAAGGAUUUGAAAUAAUGUUAUUUGUGGCUUUCUUGUUCUUCCUUUUCUACUAAUGACAAUACAGAAGAAUGUUUAUUCUUAGUAAAUGACAAGCAAACAUUAAAGUGUCGUUUAGACAUUCUUCUCUAAAUUGUGCAGGGUAUGUUAAAGUAUACCAAACACUUAAAAAGAACAUUACUCUGUCAAGUGCCACAUAUGAAAAGGUCAGCACCAGUCUUCUUUUUUCUGCAUAUGAAUCAUAGACAACAAAUAAGAUGUAACAUUUGCAUUACUGUUUUAAUCUGUACCAUUAUUUAUGAGGGUUCUCAAAAUACUUGUAACCCUCAGAAAAUAUUCUAGCGUAGGCUGGUAUUAUUACCCUCUCAUGUUACAAAUGAGACACAAAGACAGCACAGCUGAAAUUUUCCAAAGUAACUACCGGCUGGGGCAAAGAAAGGGCAUCUCAGUUUCUCAGUAUCCAGCCUCAGUGAUACAAGGUUUUAUUAUCAGACAUGCUCUCACAUACCAGUGAGAGGUACAAAUAUUCUGCACCUCUGAAAAAUAACCAAACCAUUCAAAUAGAUCAGGUUUUGUGUAGCAAGUAAGCAGAAGCUCCAGAAAAGAGAAAUUCUGACUGCAUUGAAGGACGGCUGGUGUGAUAAAACCAGUGAGAUAGCUUUAAUUUUCACACUCAGGCAUUCACCAACAGACGCUGCCCAGAUAGCUAAUCAGGCUGCUGAAGCAAUUCUGUGCAACUUCCCUUUAAAUAACUUUGGCAAAGUCAGACUCAUAUAUAUGCUGUGCUCUCUACCUCAGUGUUUCUCAGGAACAUUCUUCAAAAGGCAUUUUUGUGUCUUUAUAAUUGAAUUGAUUCUUAAGUUGUGCCACAGGUGUACACCUUAUCAAAGAAGAGCUAGCAUUCCAUUUGUUCAUAAUGCCCUCUAGGAGGAGGUUUAACAUGCAAUGUUUGUUGUUUCUAGCAGGUCUCUCUGCAGAGAGAGAGGUCGCUACUCAGGGAGGCACUUUCCUCCUUGGAAACAAGAAAAGAAAUCACCGGGAAGGAGGGGAAAAUGCAUCUGAGUAACAGGAGGGGAUCUUGUCAAUCUUAAAGCCACUAGAAAAUGAUCAUGAAAGUCUUUUGUUAGAGAAGCCUAUAAUGGUACUAUUGCUUGUCUAUUGUGGCCACUAACAGCAAAUAGUCUGCAAGAGCAGGGGAGAUGUAGGAUUAGACAAAUUGUGAAGAGGGGCUCUGGGUGCUUGAAAGGUACAUUCCUGCUCCUCAAGGUCAAAGGGGUAAAAAUAGUGUCAUCAUUAAUCCUCAGUGGAAGUAUUUCUAUAAACAAAUUGACCUUUAAAAACAUCCAUGGCAUAUAUGAAAUAAUGCUAAUGAUGUACUAUUGGAUUUCUUCCACAAGUGGAAACAGAAAAGCAACUGUAUUCACUUAUGUUGAGUUGGAGACUGGGUUGUACAGUACAUGUUCUACUGAUAGAAAUUGCAGCCAUUGUGAAAAGAAUUUUUUUAGAAAGUUUAAUUAUUAUUAUAAUUUUUUGUGCAUUUCAAGAAUAAACCCAGUUAGUAAAUUUUUUUUCAGAGGGCUCAUCCUUACCCAUGUGUAUUUCUGGGGAUGGCACUGGGUUGAAUCUAUAUGCAUCUAUUGCAGUUGCAAUACACGAGAAGAGCUUCCAGAAGACAAUGAUCGACACAGAUGUUACACUGAAUGGCAGCUGCUAAAUAUAUGUGCACUGAUAAAUGUCUGUGAAAUAACUUCAUAUGCAGGUAUCCAAAUUCUGAUUCACCAUUUAGAGAAACUAGAAGCACAACUCUCAUUCUUUCAGUUUGUAGCAUCCCAGGCACAGUGGUAGAACUUACACACCCAAACCUGCUCAACCUACAGUUCUUGUUGCAAGGCCUUGAGAGAUGCAGUGGAGUGGAGGGCUACGGAAUGGAAGCACAGGACCAUGGCUCCAAGCCCAGCUCUGUCCCUAGCCUGCUUUGCAAUACUGGUCACAAGGUUUGAAGGCAAUAAAACAAGAGCAGAAGUGAAAGGUGCUGUUCAGAGAAGACGGCUUGUAGCAAAGGUGCUGUCAGAGUACAAGCCAACAGCUGCAUUUGCUGCCUGUGCCCAUCCACCAAAGUGUUCAGACCAGGUGCAACAUUGCAGACCUACCCAACGCCAGCUCUAAAGGUGACCUAAAUGUGACCGUGCAACUAGAGACUCACCCACCCAACCUCACCUAUGGGUUCAGAUGGAAGUUUCCUUUCAAUUCUUUAGUGUUAUUAAUUGUUAUUAUUUCUUUAGAUUUUAUGUAACAAUAAAAGGGAGGCUUCAGUUCCUGGAUGCAGCAACCCCUCCCACAAAUCAAAAGAAUAUGACUUUCAUUUUGAAAAGACUGAAUAAAUAUGUCCUGAAUACAGAGGGGCAUUGAUGCUAAACACCCUGAAAUCCUGAAACAAUUGUUCUUUCUUUCAUUUGAUUCAUCCCACAAGGUUCAAUAAGUGUAUCUCACAGAGUCUGGGUGGUUUUUAGAGUCAGGGCUUUGAUUCAGGUGAAGGUGUUGAAAGAUGUCACAGGAACAAUGAAACAGAAAGUGUAACCAAGGGAUUGGGAUUUUGGCUUUCAGGAAGAGCUGGUGAUUUGGGAGAUCUGCACCAUCUUGAAAUGACCUGAUUUUCAGUGCAUCGGAUCCUCUGCGCUUUCUGAAAGUCUGUGAAGGGGUCUUAAGUCAGUUACCAGAAAUCACUAACCUGCUCCUAGUCUUGUGGAUGUGUGGAAACUCUGCCUGGCAGAGAGACCCAAGGACUGAGUGCUAUGGCCAAACACUUGUCCACCAUGCUGACAGCCCAUUUUAACUUUCAUCAAGAAAAAGGGAAAACUCCUCUUGUUCUCUUGAGCCCUUUCAGCUUUCUGAAGGAGUCCUUGCAUAUGGAUUCCUGCAUGUUUCAGCUCUCCCUGAAAAGCACCAGGGCCUUGACCAGGGUUCCAGUUUCCCAGUCGGGGCAGAGCACCUUGCUGAAGGGGACAGGGCAGUGCUGUUGCUGUCACUGAAGACAGCUAAUUUGGGAAGUCUGACCUGUUGCUGUAGUCAAGUUUGAGUUCUCACAGCAUCAUAUUUAAGGGGAGGGAGCUCCCCACUCAAUUGUGUAACCUCAAUGGCCCCUUUUGCCCCCUUUCGCCUUUGUCAGAGAAUCUCCCAGGUACCUGACACACUUCAGGGCUUCAGACCUGCAGAAGCACUGCUUGACUCAUCACUCUUACUGUCAGCUUGCAAAUGCAGUACUUCCUGUAAGGCAGACAGCAGUUCCUGACAAUCUUUUUGUAUUUUAUUUUGGUUAAAUUAAAUAGGUGUAACCUACUGGGGGGAUGGGGAGUAUCCUAACCUGAGCGGGAGGGUUGCAUGCCUGCAUGAUGUGGAGGGAUCUUGAUCAUCUAGAAAGAAUUAAUGGCCAUUUCUGUACUGUACUUUGUCAAUAUUUGGAAUAUGCAACAAAAUAAAUGUUCCCUUCCUUGCUACAGUCCUAGCAACAAGAGAGGACUUUAUUAACCUCUGGGGUGUCUCUAGUUGCUUUUGGGCUCUGUGUCAAUUGGAUUGAGUAUUCCCAAAAAAACCUGCUUGAAUAAUUUUGUUCAUUUGGUGGAGAUCUUACUUUUGCUUUGUGCUGGAGGUUUUUCAGUCUUGGUAGGGUUCUUCAGUAGCCAAAGUUCUUUGGUAGCCAAAAUACCAACUGUACAGUUCUAUUUGUAUCAGGAUUUUUUUUUUUUUUCCCCUGUGGGCCAGUCUCAGAGCAGUAGUAAUUCCUCUUUUCCGUUGUUUUUUUAUUUCCACUGCUAAAAACAAGAAUACGACUGAGUCUUCAUGCCCCUUUGAAGUACAAAUCCCCUCAGAGUCUGGGAAGGAACGGGUUAAUAUUUUGUCCCUGAGCUACCACAGGUGUUUGCCCUCAUUCAGGGAUUACAAGAGAGCCCAGGUAUGGCAAGGCUCAGCUGGAGCAAAUUACUCUGUAAGGAGGGCCUAUAAGAGAAAGGACCAAGUGGAAGGUCAGGCACCCUGGGCUAAGGGGAUGGCUUAUUUAUUCAUGUAAUUCCCUUUUUAGCCCAGAGAUCUUUUUACUUUUCCAUAGUACCCUUUUCCCCUCCUUCUUUCCCACUCCCCUCUACCUAAUUUGAAUGGGCUUGUUUCAGCAUCCUUCAUUGGCUCCCCUGACCUGUCACACUUCUCAGACUCUUUUUAUCUCAUAAUUUCCUUUCUAUUUUACAUGUUUCAGUAUGUCUAAUUAUUUCCAUACUGGAAGCUCUUUAAGCUAACAGGUCUAGAAAUCUUGCAAAGACUAUUAGACACAUAGUAUUUUUUUUCUUCUAUGGUCCUUUGCAUGUAAAAUGCAAGUCCAUUUCAUUUCAAGGAAAGACAGUUGAAAAUUGACCUACAUUUCUAUUGGGAAAUGUCUCAUGUUACACGGUGCUCAACCCUAUGGAAAGAUAGGGUUUGCAGGAUGUUGUGAAUUUGUUUGAGAAGGAAAAGUGUAAAGAAUAUGCAGUCAAAAAUGUAACAGGCACUUGCUCACCACGUCAUGUAGAUUGUCUUGUUCCUUAGCUCAGGUGAGAUUACAAUUAGGGGUAGAUAACGCUUUCAGAGAUCUAUUGUUCUUUUAUGUUUUUUCUUUUUUUACAAGAUAAUUACAACUAUUAUACACUGUUAGAUUUUGAUUCAUAGAAAAGACAAAUAAAUUGCAUCAGUAAGAACUUUAUGUUCAUAAUAUUAAGAUAUGUUUCUGCUUAGGAAAUUAACUACGUAUUUUACAGUAAUAUCAUAAAUUAUAAGAUUUGAUGGCUUAAAGAGUGGGUCUAACUACCAGGAAUCCUCGUGUACAUAAUGACUCUGGAUAUUUCUGGGUCUACAGCCACUCUUGUGUCUUGGCAAUAUAUUCUCAGCAUGCUCUUUUAUUCUUCCCAUUUACAGGCAGGAAUUCAGCCAUAUACCUCAAAUUAAUCUGGUUUCCUCUUGAUGUAGUUAAUGAAGUAACCACUCUGACUUUUUGGGCCAAAGAGAUUCAUUGAUCUGCUUGAGGUGAGAGUGGAAAUCUGUAGCAGAUCUCCUGAAUCUUAGUUUCCUUACUUGUUUCCUUUAGAUUUAUAUUGUCUGUCUGUCCUAGUCUGCUGGGUGAUGGAUCUAACAGUGCUAUUCGUAAAGGGGUUGCAAGGCUUAGUCAGUGUUUGCAAAGUAUUCAAGAGUCUCAGAUAGAAAGAAAAUGCAGUUUCUAAAUGCUGAGCGACAUUGCUGCCGAUGGAUGACUGAGGCAUUGCGCUGUCUCUAUGCUUCUGGAAUAAUUCAAUGAAAGAUUCAGAAGUUAAAGUUUGUGAGUGGUUGGUUUUUUCCUGGCUUGCAAAGGACAGGGGAGAACUGCAGCAUGGCAGCAUGUGUACAUACUUAGUCCUAUUCUUUGUGUUUGGCUUAGGAAUGUGUACAAGAUACAACCCUGUGCAAAUUUCAUAGGUGUUUAUGUGGUGUAAGGAUUUUAUUUAAUUGUUGCCCGGGUGAUUUUUAAUUCAGAUUUCUCUAUUCCCUUUCACAACACCUUCAUUAAAAAAAAAAAAAAAAAAAAAAAAAAAAAAGAAGGGGGCAUUUUUUUCUGGCUCUGAUUUGAUUACAAAACCCACUACUAACAGAAUAGCAGCCAGUGUGCACUAAAUCCCUUUUUAAGCGCUGUAUUAAAGCUUUCUCUCCUUACUGGAGACCUUUACACUCACUUUUUCAGCAAGAUUUCAUUUUCUGUACAGUUAUAUUUAAGUAGCAACAAAGGCCUGACCUCCUUGAUGUUCAAGUUCAAAAUUUGCCUUGAACCUAAUAGGACUAGAACUACCUCUUUCAUCUUUGGGAGUUUCCAGGUAGUUUAAUCAGCCCAAGGAGCCUUCAUUCCUUGCUGGAACCUCUUGAGGGAUUUUGUAAAGGAAAUAACUAGUAAGCAGCACAGCAGUGGAUACCCAUGAACUCAUAUGCACAGGCUGGCAAAGCUUAAGCUAUUGAUACUGGGGAAUGGAAGAGCUUAAGGGAAGGGAUUUUUUGCUCAGUACCAUGAAGUGAUACCUGCAGAAUAUUCAGCUCAGCAGUUCGGUAUCCUUUACUACAGAUGAUGUUAGGGACAGUGAGGCUCGACUCAGCACCCCUGUGCUUAUUGUAACUCCUGUAUACUGUUAAUCAGUCAAUUUGACUCUGCUGACACUUAGAGCUGUUGUUAGACCCCCUAGAUCCAUCUUUUACAGCAGCUGUUCAGUCUUGCUGUUUGGUCUUACCUCCUGCAUUGAGUCAUCACUUCUAGAGGCUUUGCUUUUAGAGCAAUUGCAAGAGCUGUUUUCUAGAGGAGAAGGACUUAUUGGUUGAGUCAGAGAGAGCUCUGUUAGACGUCAUUGCUUUUUAAUAUGAAAGUAAUGUAUGAAAAGAAAAAGCAGGAAAUGGGACAUGGUAAAGUGUGGGAUGGAGAUUUAAAUGUAGGGGAGGAGACUGUAGAAGAUGUAAAUUCUAAUUAGGUUUAUAGAAAUAUAGGUCAACACUUACUUAGAUUUUUUUAAGUGUUUGAUACAGCAAGAAAAUACAUGUACAGAGUUCAGUACAAAAAUCCAUCUUUUUAUAGGUUAUGAAAAACAUUAAUGCUUUGUUCCAUUUACUGAAUUCCUGCUCCCUGACACACACUGAUGGACAAGUGCUUCACUUCCUGCUCAUUGGGCCUGUUAUGUAUAUAUUUCUCUGCCUGACUUAAGAGGUGAUUAUAGGCAUCUACAAAAUGAAGAGAUUUUUUUAUAUUAGUUAACUUUUUAAUCUUAUAUGAAAAGAUAUAAAGAUGUGUGGCUUGAAAAUGGAAAUUAAAGAAAUUCAGAAUAGAAACAAUUUAUAUAUUUUAAGAAGGAUAAUUAACCUAUGAUACCUGGAGACAUAGUGGAUUCUCUGCCAUGGCAACUUUUUAAAUCAAGUCUUGGUAUCUUUUUCAAAUGUUAUAGUAUGAAAGACAGUAGUUACGACAUAAAAUUAUUGGCUUAUAAGAUAAAGGAGAUCAGGCUGUCAGGGACGGUACUCUGCCCCACUUCUAGCUAAGAGAAUUUUCUUUUUUGUUUCUAGUUAAAAAUUACAUAGUUUACCUCCAUCAGACCCAGGGCUCAGUUGUCUAUGGAAACCUCUAACUCCAUUUGCUCUGAUCCAUAUUUAGAACAAAUAUGUGAAAACAUCAUGCAAAGUUGCUAUAAAAAUAUUCAAUCAGAAGGAAGAAGAUGAGUGUUGCUACUUGAUGACUUUAUAGCAGAAAGACCAGGAUGAGGAAUCAGAUCCUGAUCACAAGAGACUGGACUUCUCUAGACAAUAUAUCUUGCUGCUCAGGGAGCAUGUUGACCGUAGAAACACAUAUUGCACAGCGUAUAAAGCUCAGGUACAAGCCGAUCUGACAAUCAAAUCCUAACAAGUAGGCCCUUUGAAAAAGAUCUUUUGAUGCAAUACAUUCACUUUAUGUCAUAGAUUGGUAUUGCCUGACAUCAUGCUCCUUAAGUAUGUUGCAGAAAGUCAAGUAACACCAAUGGAAAAUCGUAAUUUAUGAAAAAACACUUGUUUUAAGGACAACAUUUGUGUAGUUUUUGCUGUCAGGUCUUCAUUCUGGUUGUCCCUACUUCAGCAGUGUUUUGGGUAGGGAGAUUCUGCUAGAAGGCUGGCAGCUUAAAGCUCAUGAGUUGAUGCACAAGGAAACUUCCAGUCUCUUUUUCCUGCAUUAACAAGCAGGUUCCACAGCACUGAAACGGUUAAUCAUCAGGAUGUUUUCACCAAACCCAACAGCAUGGCUGGAAACUUUUUAGCUUGUUCGGUGCUUCCUUGUCCUUUCCAUCACUCUUCUACAUCCUGAAAAAGAAAACAAUCAAAAUGUAGAUUAAAAUUCCAAGUAAAGGUCAGUAUUUUUCUUAAGGAAAAAUAAUAGCUCCUAGACAAAAGUACACCACUCCCAUUCUGACAAAGCAGCAGACUGUACCCUGCAUGUUCACUUGUUUCUCCUCAGUGCUGUUUAUAGUGGGUUAUUUCCAUUUCAUUUUCAAUGUGUUCCAUUUGGAAAUUCCUCACUCUGAGCAUUUGCUAUAAUGAGAGUCAUAUAAAUCUGGAAAAAGAAAAAAGGGUGACGUGCCAGAAUGGGUAACUUAAUCCCACCCAAGGACAAAAUAAGGUGUCUGUCUCUGUGGGUUUUAUGAAUGAGUAUAUCAUUAGUCAGUGCUGACAUAAUUUUUUUUUUUUUUUUCUUUUUUUGUUAAAGUUGGGGUUUUGGAAGUGGUGGGAUCUAGGGCUGGUUCAACCCUAGCUUUCCUAAAAAAACAUUGAUCCCAUGAAGACAUGUACAAAUGUGUUCAAAUGUAUUUUAGUUAAUGGGAUUUGAAAUGUUGCUUAAUUAGAACUGGAAUUCUCUAUCCACAAUGUUGAUUCAAAGGACAGUCCAUGGUAGCAUGGUCUUAGGCUGACUGUCUGAACACUUAAGAGCUGGCUGGGAGAAUGCUGUCUGGGAAAGGGAGGAGAUGCCAGUUUGCUUUUGAGGCUGUCAAGAAUAAUUCUGGUUUUGAGGAUCGCUUUUUGGCAACCGUGCAUCAGGGUCUGGAGUAGGAUGGCUGAUGAACUCCUUCCGUAUAAACUUCUGACGCUUGUCAAAAAGUAAUGGUUUUCUGUUGCUGCCAACACAGACCAGGUUCAAACCAAUGGCCAAGAAGUGAAAAGGCUCUGUAUCCCAUUAGCAAUCUUCCUCUGUACAUUUCUUCUAUUGUUAAUUUUUAAUAUCCUUGAAAACUUACACUGCAGAACUUCACUGGCACCAGUCGAUCAUAAAAUAAGACGUGAGAAGUUUAAGUGCAUCUAUUUCGAGGGCUAGGCAGAUUCUUUAAGUCUGAUAUUUCAUCUCCAUUCUCAGAUAUGCUGCAUAAUUCUUCUGCCUGUUUAUGGAAAUAAAUGAUGUAUCAUAGCCUUCAAGUUUAAUUUUUUUAAAAUUUUUUAGACAUGCUAAAGGACGCGAUCCAAGAAGCUAGAAUGUAAUUACAGAUUUUGCAUCUCCUGUAUGACCUGUCAGAAGUUUGCUAUCUCUUAUAAAGCCAUUCCAGCAUAUACUUAAUGUCAGUUUAAUAGAAGAAACACUUUAUAGGUUCUUUUAGAUUGACACAUUUAGAAUGACAUCAGUUCCUAGUUUUAAAACCUAUUGUUAUUAAGUCUCUGUUGCUAUUUAUGUUAGGAAUAUGUGCAUGUAUGUCAAAACAAUGCAUCAACUUUGCUGAUUGGCUGCACCUAGAUUGUGUUGCCAAGGUAACGGAACAAUUGCUUUUAAUCUUUUCUAAAUUGUCUUAUU